AUACCUUGACUGUACACCCGCGAUUCUGACUCUCACGAAACUAGCUAUGUACCUAAGUUGUGCGUGCAUAUCUACAAAUGCAUCCAUAUGUGUAGGUACUUUCGUACUAUAUAAUAUUAGGUCUACUUGAGCCGUAUACAAGUGAAUUUUUUGUUUGAUUUCUUGUAACUUUGAUAGUUUUUUUGUUUAGAAGAUAUCAAACAAAACAUUAACUUGUAAACCGCCUAAGUAGACCUAAUAUUAUGUAGAAAGGUUUUAAAAGAAUGGAAUCCGAAAAAGACAUACUAUAUACUAAAGCAAGUACAAUUAUGUUUAUUGCUUUCAAUUUGGUAUACAAGAUAGUAAUAGACUAGGUGUUGUAAGUACUUGAAUUGUUCUUCUUUUUACUUGUUUGUUCAUCUUUGUGUACAAAGCUGCAUUAUCUCUGUCUUCUAUGACUUGUGUCUCACUCUGACUUGGAACUCUUUCAUGUGCGCAUAACUAACUUGCCUAGUUCUCAACUGAGCGUUUCUUCCUUGACCUUAACAUUCAACUGGACUUGAAUUCAAGAUAUUCCGGAGGUAAAGUGAGGACAGGUAAAGUGCACAUUAGGAGAAUUCCUGGUAAUUUCGUCUCGCUCUCUAGCUCCAUAAACAAUUCGCUCCAGAUAUUCUUUAAAAUAAACACAUGAGUAAUGAAUGAUGUCGUGGUUCGGGUCCUUCUUGUACUAAUGAAUUUCAGGCCUAGGAUGUAUGUCUUGUCUACGCACGUACCUCCAUAGAUGCACUCUAUCUCGUCUAACUUAGCGGAAUCAAAUUGCACAAAUCUUGGCAGAGUGUUUGUCGUAAUCAAAAAUUAAAAUAAUCAUCACUGGUUUUCAUCGCUACAUGAGCGCUAAGGAAGAUGGUAUUUUCUUUUUUUUUUUUUUACAGUAUGGCCUGGAUGCGAGUCCUUUAAACCAAGUCUUUGUUUUGUUCAAAACACAUUAUUUAAAGAGUUUUAUGUCAGAGAAUGCACUUUUGUUAAAACUUAAAACACUUCACUUUAAAUCUUCAACACUGUGUUUUUAAUAUACUUGUAUAACGGAACGUAACUGUUAACGUUUUUAAGAAUGUCGGUGAGGCGGCGGGGGACAUUAUUAUUAAACACUUCACUUAAUUCACUUGCAAGGAUUAGUCUUUCAAAUGAAAACACUUGGCAUUUAAAUAUAAGGUGUUCAACAUCUGCAACGCUACCAUUCUGGCAGUGAGGACAUGUACCAUCGGCUAUAAAUGAAAAUCUAGCCAGAUUUUCAUUUAUAGCCGAUGGUACAUGUCCUCACAUCAUCAUGUCAGUGCGCUGGUGCACAGUUGUGACCAAACCGCAAUCUAUUGAUGGUGGUAAUAAAGCUACGUCUUCCCGUCUUAAUCUUCUCAUACCAAGGCUUUCCAGGGCUUCAAAUACAGCAUAUGCUUCAGCCGUAAAUAUGGAACAUACAUCAUGCAACCUAAAGCUCUGUACAAAUUUAGUUUGAGGAUCAUACACUGCACUUCGAACAUGGGAAUCUGCUUUACUACCAUCGAUGUAUACUUUGUAAUAAUCGGGAAUUUGUGACAAGAAACAUAGAAAAUCUGUAUUAUUAUUGAUAGAUUUUGUGCAUACUGUAAUGUUUAAAAGUUUACUAUCAAAGCUAUCUUCAUAACAUGGCCAAAUUUCAUUUUUAUAUAUAUUACAAAACUUAGCUUCCACCUGUAAGAGUAGUGCUGUUAACUUGGUAUUUUCUUCUUACCUUCGAAAAUAUCUAAACUUCUCGACGUUGUCUUAAACACUUAACUUUUUAAACCUCCAGGUUUUGUAACACUAGAAUUAUAGGGAUUCUAAUUUCCCUAUUUGAAUUUGACUCGUGUUUAAUGCUUGCUCCGAUUUUACUAUGCUCUGCUCUGCACUUUAAAAUUAAUAGAGAAAUAAUAAGUUCAUAUCAAUCAUAUCUCUGUUUACAUUUAUUUGACAGUAAACAACAGUUGCUAGGUAACAACAUUAUCAAUAAAGAUAGGUCUUGACAUACGAGGUAUAAGCAACCUUCUUAAUGUAGUAUUCAUGCCUUUAAAUGGUACCAAUUUUAUAGUGACAUCUGGUGAUGUAGUUUAUACAAUCGGUAGUCCACUUUACGCAAACGUAUUUCGGGGGCCGUGAAUAAGGAUGCAUAGCUGAAUGUGCAAGUCGCAAAAUGUGCACUAAUGCAAAUCGCAGAAGGUGUAGAUCGUAAAAAGAGCAGGUCGCAAAAUGUGCAAAUCGUAAAACGAGUAGGUCACAAAAUGUAUAAAUCGUAAAAUGUGCACGUCGCAAAAUGUGCAAAUCGUAAAAUGUGCAGGUCGCAAAAUGUGCAAUUCGUAAAAUGUGCAGGUCGCAAUAUGUGCAGAUCACACUGUACUCGUAGAUGAGAAUGAGAAGUCUUCUUGAAUUCUCUUCAUCCGGGCGGGUCACGGGUGUUCAAUACCCGAGUAGAGCCGAUACCGCAGAUCCGGACGUGAACUUAACCUGGACCUUAACCUUGUCCUAGAGGAAACGAUUCUUGGCGGGCCCGUGUAGUUGUUAGUACGACUUUAAAAUAAGAAGUUUUUCCAUACGGAGGAAGAUUAACUGUCAAAAAUGUUAAUAAGAGCACUCUAUUAAAACACACUAAGGUCCAUUUUCAUUUGACAGGGUUGAAGGAGGAAAACGUGCCGAAAAAGAGAGCAAAAGA